rnacentral:rRNA from 1 species
UAAUACGUAGGGUGCAAGCGUUGUCCGGAAUUAUUGGGCGUAAAGAGCUCGUAGGCGGUCUGUCGCGUCUGCUGUGAAAACCUAGGGCUUAACUCUGGGCGUGCAGUGGGUACGGGCAGGCUAGAGUGCGGUAGGGGAGACUGGAAUUCCUGGUGUAGCGGUGAAAUGCGCAGAUAUCAGGAGGAACACCGGUGGCGAAGGCGGGUCUCUGGGCCGUAACUGACGCUGAGGAGCGAAAGCAUGGGGAGCGAACAGGAUUAGAUACCCUGGUAGUCCAUGCCGUAAACGUUGGGCGCUAGGUGUGGGGCUCAUUCCACGAGUUCUGCGCCGCAGCUAACGCAUUAAGCGCCCCGCCUGGGGAGUACGGCCGCAAGGCUA